UACGUAGGGGGCAAGCGUUGUCCGGAUUUAUUGGGCGUAAAGAGCGUGUAGGCGGCCAGGUAGGUCUGCUGUGAAAACUCGAGGCUCAACCUCGAGACGUCGGCGGAAACCAUCUGGCUAGAGUCCGGAAGAGGAGAGUGGAAUUCCUGGUGGUAGCGGUGGAAUGCGCAGAUAUCAGGAGGAACACCGGUGGCGAAGGCGGCAUCCUGGACCAACACUGACGCUGAGGAGCGAAGCCAGGGAGCAACGG
rnacentral:rRNA from 1 species